GAUUUGGAUAAUUUGAUUAAAGAACUAAAUGGCAGGGUUGGGGACUGGAUUGCUCAUUGGUUUAGGUAUCUGGCUGCAGAGUCAGAGGUCGGGAAUUCACUUCCUCACUGUGCCUGCUGUGCCUCGAGCCAGCCUGUGUGGCCUUGGGCACGCUGCACAGUCCCAGGAUGCCCCCAGAAGAAGGGAAUGGUAAACCACUUCUGUAUAUUUUCUACCAAGAAAACCCUGAAAGGGGUUGCCAUAAGUCGGAAUUGACUUGGUGGCACACAACACAACAGCGGACGUUUACAGGGAACGUGAAAAAUCAAACGAAGCAAGAUUAAUGUAAGUUGCUGAGGGUGGGGAAAGUAUUAUAGGUUAGGACAAUGGGGGGAAAAAUCAGACAGGGCUACAUCCUGCGAUUACAGGUUGGGUAGUGAUGGAAUGGGUGGGGGGCGAAGUCCUAGAAUCCAAUAGGACUGAAAUUAUGCUCGGGGGAGGGAUUGUGGGAUAAAAUGGUUAGGGUCCAAUUGUGUGUUUCUAAUUAAUCCCCUGUUAAAUAUAUUUACAGACUGCCUUCUCUCUAUCCUAGAAUUCAGGGAAGCAUACCUAGGAUUUCUGGGAUAAUCAACUAUCUAUGGGACAAAGAGUAAAUCCCAAACAACAGAGUGGGUGGGGAAGCACUGAGCAACACAGAGUGAGGCAGUUUCAGAGACAGAGUGGGAAGGCUACCAACAUAUAAAAAAUGUAGGGCAGCCCAAAGAAAGGAGUUCGAUGGGAGGCGGGAGGGCACCCUAUGAAAAGCGCAGGAGGAGGUGAGAAGGGUUCCUGGAAGAGGCAUAAUCAAAAUGGUGUGAGACUGGAGGGGUGGGCAGGCGUGGAGAGGAAGUGAAUGCAGAUGGAAAGGCCAACAAAACAGCAGGAACGUGGGUGCAGAGUUCCUAGGAGUCAGCUGUGGCAGCAAAGGAAGUCAUCCUACUUUCCUUGGGUCUACUUUUCACAGAGAUGACAAAGCUGCAUCCGGGCAGGACCACUUCAGAAUGCAGGCUAGAGAUACCCAGCUUCUUUAACAAUUGUUCCAAAGAAAGGAAGCAGAUCUUCUCAGAUUUGUGCAAUCCACUUGAUGAGCAUCCACUCCCUCUACUCUUCCAUCUAAGUCAUUUACAAAAAUGCUGAACAACUUUGGGCCGAAGACAGAACUUUGUAACACCUCACAGUUCAUCUUUCUCCAGAAUAACAAGAAACCAUUGGCGAGUACUCUAUCUAUGGUCCAUCAACCAGUUCAUCUUUCUCCAGAAUAACAAGAAACUAUUGGUGAGUACUCUAUGGUCCAUCAACUAACUACAGAUUCACCUAACAGUAGCAUAAUCUAGUUCACAUUUUAUCCACAAAAUCACAAUAAAGUCUUCCUAAAAUCAAGAUACA
rnacentral:lncRNA from 1 species